UGAGGGAAUAUUUGGGUCAAUGGGCGGAAGCCUGAACCAGCCAAGUAGCGUGCAGGACGACGGCCCUAUGGGUUGUAAACUGCUUUUUAUGCGGGGAUAAAGUGGGCCACGUGUGGCCUUUUGCAGGUACCGCAUGAAUAAGGACCGGCUAACUCCGUGCCAGCAGCCGCGGUAAUACGGAGGAUGCGAGCGUUAUCCGGAUUUAUUGGGUUUAAAGGGUGCGCAGGCGGCGCGAAAAGUCAGCGGUCAAAGUUCCGGGCUCAACCCGGUGACGCCGUUGAAACUUUCGUGCUGGAGUUCGUGCGAGGGAGGCGGAAUGCGUUGUGUAGCGGUGAAAUGC
rnacentral:rRNA from 1 species